GACAAGUGGAAUGAAGCCUGUAUGAUCCAAAGGGUAUCAAUAUUGACAUACAUAUUGCAUCAAGUUCUCCUUAGGCUUUUUAGCUCUGAGGGGUAUCUAUUUUCUCUACCCUUUGGGGUAUCUGUUUCCUCCUCCCCUAUCUGGUCUGGAAAGACGUAGGAGGACCACUCUCAGUGGAUGAUGGUAUACCAUCUGAUGAGAGUGGUAUCGCACUAUCUGUAGGGGUCACCCAUGGUUUGGCCAGCUAGAAAUGGGAUUGAGUAAAUUUUCGUAUCU
rnacentral:lncRNA from 1 species